UACGGGGGGGGCAAGCGUUGUUCGGAAUUACUGGGCGUAAAGGGUUCGUAGGUGGCGCACUAAGUCAGACGUGAAAUCCCUCAGCUUAACUGGGGAACUGCGUCUGAGACUGGUGGGCUUGAGUGCAGGAGAGGAACGCGGAAUUCCAGGUGUAGCGGUGAAAUUCGUAGAUAUUCGCAAGAACACCAGUGGCGAAGGCGGCUCACUGGCCCGGUACUGACGCUGAGGUGCGAAAGCGUGGGGAGCAAACAGG
rnacentral:rRNA from 1 species